GCAAUUAGUUUAACGUUUGUCGUUCAUACAAGUAUAAAUAGAUAGAAAAUACAAAGAAGCAGAAGCCCAAAUACUUGACAAAAAUUUUCAUUUCAUUUAAUAAAUUUAAGUACAGAGGGACCGUUGCCAUUACAAGAGGUAGCCCUAAUCUGCUGGAGGGACUUCUACACUGGCCGCCUCCUGGGCCUCCGGAGCCCCCUCGACAACCC
rnacentral:lncRNA from 1 species